AGCGAACGCUGGCGGCAUGCCUAACACAUGCAAGUCGAACGAGACCUUCGGGUCUAGUGGCGCACGGGUGCGUAACGCGUGGGAACCUGCCCUUAGGUUCGGAAUAACUCCCCGAAAGGGGUGCUAAUACCGGAUAAUGUCUUCGGACCAAAGAUUUAUCGCCUUUGGAUGGGCCCGCGUUGGAUUAGCUAGUUGGUAGGGUAAAAGCCUACCAAGGCGACGAUCCAUAGCUGGUCUGAGAGGAUGAUCAGCCACACUGGGACUGAGACACGGCCCAGACUCCUACGGGAGGCAGCAGUGGGGAAUAUUGGACAAUGGGCGAAAGCCUGAUCCAGCAAUGCCGCGUGAGUGAUGAAGGCAUUAGGGUUGUAAAGCUCUUUUACCCGGGAUGAUAAUGACAGUACCGGGAGAAUAAGCUCCGGCUAACUCCGUG
rnacentral:rRNA from 1 species